GGCAUUGGUCUGCACGGCAUAAACAGAACAGAAGGGCUGCCUCCCAGUCCCACCCCUUCCACGCAUUCACUUCCUCACUCAUUCUUUCAGGAGACACCUGUGUCAGGCACGACGUGGUGAACUUUUAAAAACGGAUUCAGUAGUACCAAAAUACUCAUAAUGUGCAGACAGACAAAAGAACUGGAAGGAGUCGUGUUUUCAGACACAGGAAGCUUUUCACGUGCUCCACCUGGACCUCAUCUCUCAGCCUCACACUCCGAUCUUCAGCAGCCCCCGCUAUGCGCCCGAGUCUUGGGACGUCAUCCCGGAGCUCCUAGCCUGCCCGGGAGGCAGAGCCAUCAGAUUCUCCUCUUGGCCCCUUAUCCCAACUAAACACAUCACCACUGAGGACCUGUCCAGGGGUUUAGCUCCUGAUGAAGAGACAGAGAAAAGGUCAGAGAAAGGAAGGGUGACGCUCCAUCCAAGAUGACUACAGCGCUAUGAUUUCCAGAUGGGGAAGGUCACGGAUGCUGGACGCAACAGAAUCUCAACAGGGACCCGAGAGAGAGAGGCUCCUCUCUCCCUACACUAAUAUCCCACGAUCCCUGUGUCACUUUCCAGAACACACUGUCAGUUCCAUGGACCUAGGAUUAUAAAAUCCUGUAAGAUUUAUACAGAAAAUAUAAAAAUCUGGGGAGGGGGAACUGUGAAACAAUGUGAAAAAAACUAUUUGUCAAAUGGACAGUGGGGAAUAACUUCUCCUCCCGCACCUCCUCCAAGCUUCUAACAACACUCAUGGCACACAAUACAGAGGAGACUGCCAUAAAAAUGACUUAAAAUGUGCCCUUUUGAGGUAAAGUAACUAUGGGACAAGUGACUAUAAAAAUGACACAGCUGGGGAGAUCCAAAUCUAUUCCUGCUCAGCAAGUUUCCAGAUUAAAAUGUGUCUGCUUACCUAGUCAA
rnacentral:lncRNA from 1 species